rnacentral:rRNA from 1 species
CACCAGCUCUUCAAGUGGUUGGGACUUUUAUUGGGCUUAAAGUGUCCGUAGCCGGUUUAGUAAGUUCCUGGUAAAAUCGGGUAGCUUAACUAUCUGCAUGCUAGGAAUACUGCUAUACUAGAGGGCGGGGGAGGUCUGAGGUACUACAGGGGCAGGGGUGAAAUCUUAUAAUCCUUGUAGGACCACCAGUGGCGAAGGCGUCAGACUGGAACGCGCCUGACGGUGAGGGACGAAAGCCAGGGGAGCGAACCGGAUUAGAUACCCGGGUAGUCCUGGCCGUAAACGAUGCAUACUAGGUGAUGGCACGGCCAUGAGCCAUGUCAGUGCCGUAGGGAAACCGUUAAGUGUGCCGCCUGGGAAGUACGGUCGCAAGGCUAAAAACUUAAAGGAAUUGGCGGGGGAGCACCACAAGGGGUGAAGCCUGCGGUUU